GAUUACCACCAUCAUCAUCCCCUUUUUCCCCAAAAUCAAAACCCUAAAUCCCUUCACCUCUACAUCACCUGAUCACCACCAAAUUGCUUCUUCAUGUGUGUGCCAAGUUGCUCCUUACACACGUGUUAAGGGCGGCUUUCUUCCCCAAAUUUGUAACCUCCUGAUUGUUGAAAUCUAUGACCGAGAGAGAGAACUGAAAGAGAAAGAGGGUUCAGCUAGACAGAGAGAUCAGAGAAGACACGCGACAGAGUAGACAUAGAGACAGGGUAGGGUGCUUCCACGUCUCCGGCGACAGAGACGGUGGUUAAACCGUCGGAAUGGGCGAGAACCCGGUGCCUGGUUCUCUGGCGGUGAGAUUCCGAAAACGUCCGGUGAGAACCUGGUGACAUGAACCAGGUAUGCAUGUAUCCUUUAUAGUCAGAUUGGGUCAUGGUUGUGGUUUACAACGGUGGUGGUGAUAGGGACGUGGUGGAAACCGGUCACGGAUAGGGUAGAGACACGUCUGGAGAGGAGAGAAAUAGAGUACAGAGAGACGACUGUUAGGGCAAAGGUUUCACCAUCGAAGAAGUAGGGCCAUCUGACGGAGAUCGCCAGUAGGAGCUGAACUGCUGAAGUCGAAGGAGAAAGGAACGGUGAAGGAACAUCCGAUACCGGCGCAGAGAUCGGUGAAAACGAUGGUGUUGAAGCCGGAGAUUUACCGAAUCAGAUCCAUACAUCUGCGGCCUUAAACGCUUCAACCUGCGGUGCAAACACCGUGAAUCCUUUAGCCGUUGCUAUCUGGUUAUGGUGAUGGUCGCAGCGGUUUCAGGUGAUGGGUGGUAAGGGUGGUGUUUGGUUCAAGAUGGCGGGGGCAUAGUGGUGAGGUGGCAAUUUCAGGAGGCUAGAGAGAGAGAGAUGUGGGGGAUAAAGUGUUUCUUUUGGCUAACGAUCUGGCGUAAUUUGUGAGCGCCACUACCGUCAGAGGUCGUUGAUAGGUAUGUUGACUAAUGGUUUGAGAUUUAUCAAAGAUUGGUGAAUUUUUUGCAUUGUGGUGAAGACUUACAAAAUUAGUUUAGUGUGUAAUGUGUAUUGAUGUUGCUGCUAUUCUUUUGAAUCCAUUUGAAGUAUGCCUUUUAGAGGAUUAUUUAUUACCCUCUUAUUUUAUACUUGCUUUGGGUUGUUUGGGAUUUGAUUCCUAAUUCGUGUUUUUGUAAUGGGUCAAAUUGAGUAAUUUUAGGUAUAUAUUGAAAUGGGUCGGGUGACCCACAAAAUAUAAAGUCAACAUGAUUUUAGAUUAUUUUAAUGACUCCAUUUUCGUGUGAAAUAAUUCAAGAGGCUUUACGAAUAGAAAUUACACCUGGGUCGGUUUAAUUUUUUUAACCCACCUGACCCAUCUGAUUGUUACUUCCAUGGGAGCGACAAUGAAUUUUGGCUUGACUCUGCCGACAACAUUCCGGCAAAGGCUUCCGGCUAUAGCAAGUAGUACAUCUCGAAGAAUAAAGUCAGUAUCGACCAUCGGGUGUCUUUUUAGCAGUGGAAAUGGAGAAGCCAGUGACCCAGACUACGGCAUCAGGUGGCGCCGCUGACCAAUUUAGGUUCGAAGUGGGUUUUGCCACAAUUUUAGAAGAGAAAAUCCCCAUGGAUAUAAAGAUAUUGGAAGGG